CCCCCUCUUGGAAGUAGCAACCCCUAACACAAAGCCAAAUAGUAAAUAUCAUUAAUAUAAUCAUGAUAGGAUGAACCAGCAUUCCAAAAAAUAUUAUCCACACGAGUGAUAACCUGUGUAAUUUCUGUACACUUUAAAAUCUCAAUAAUGUAGCAAUCUUAAGACUUUUAACAAGAUCUUAUGAAGACAAAUAAAGGUGAUUGGGAAAACAGAGCAGUUGAGCAGAAAGCAGGAAAACAGAGUUUCAUCCAUUCCCUU
rnacentral:misc_RNA from 1 species